AUUGAACGCUGGCGGCAGGCCUAACACAUGCAAGUCGAACGAGUGGCGGACGGGUGAGUAAUGUCUGGGAAACUGACCGAUGGAGGGGGAUAACGACUGGAAACGGUAGCUAAUACCGCAUACCAUCGGAUGUGCCCAGAUGGGUGUAGCUAGUAGGUGGGGUGACGGCUCACCUAGGACACGAUCCCUAGCUGGUCUGAGAGUAUGACCAGCCACACUAGAACGGAUCCCAGGUCCAGACUCCUACGGGAGGCGGCAGUGGAGAAUAUUGCACGAGGGGCGCAAGCCUGAUGCAGCCAUGCCGCGUGUAUGAAGGAGUCCUUCGUGUUGUAAAGUACUUUCAGCGAGGAGGCGUUACUCGCAGAAGAAGCACCGGCUAACUCCGUGCCAGCAGCCGCGGUAAUUC
rnacentral:rRNA from 1 species